rnacentral:rRNA from 1 species
GACGAACGCUGGCGGCGUGCUUAACACAUGCAAGUCGAACGGAAAGGCCCUGCUUUUGUGGGGUGCUCGAGUGGCGAACGGGUGAGUAACACGUGAGUAACCUGCCCUUGACUUUGGGAUAACUUCAGGAAACUGGGGCUAAUACCGGAUAGGAGCUCCUGCUGCAUGGUGGGGGUUGGAAAGUUUCGGCGGUUGGGGAUGGACUCGCGGCUUAUCAGCUUGUUGGGGGGGUAGUGGCUUACCAAGGCUUUGACGGGUAGCCGGCCUGAGAGGGUGGCCGGCCACAUUGGGACUGAGAUACGGCCCAGACUCCUACGGGAGGCAGCAGUGGGGAAUAUUGCACAAUGGGCGGAAGCCUGAUGCAGCAACGCCGCGUGCGGGAUGACGGCCUUCGGGUUGUAAACCGCUUUCGCCUGUGACGAAGCGUGAGUGACGGUAAUGGGUAAAGAAGCACCGGCUAACUACGUG